AGCUGAUCAUUGGGCAUAAAGCGUGCGCAGGCGGUUUUGUAAGACAGAGGUGAAAUCCCCGGGCUCAACCUGGGAACUGCCUUUGUGACUGCAAGGCUGGAGUGCGGCAGAGGGGGAUGGAAUUCCGCGUGUAGCAGUGAAAUGCGUAGAUAUGCGGAGGAACACCGAUGGCGAAGGCACUCCCCUGGGCCUGCACUGACGCUCAUGCACGAAAGCGUGGGGAGCAAACA
rnacentral:rRNA from 1 species